UGGUCAUUGGUGUAAUUGGCAGCACCACGGUCUCCAAAACCGUUAGUGAAGGUUCGAGUCCUUCAUGGCCAGCCA
rnacentral:tRNA from 1 species